UACGUAGGGGGCAAGCGUUGUCCGGAAUCAUUGGGCGUAAAGAGCUCGUAGGCGGUCUGUCGCGUCUGCUGUGAAAACCUAGGGCUUAACUCUGGGCGUGCAGUGGGUACGGGCAGGCUAGAGUGCGGUAGGGGAGACUGGAAUUCCUGGUGUAGCGGUGAAAUGCGCAGAUAUCAGGAGGAACACCGGUGGCGAAGGCGGGUCUCUGGGCCGUAACUGACGCUGGAGGAGCGAAAGCAUGGGGAGCGAACAGG
rnacentral:rRNA from 1 species